rnacentral:rRNA from 1 species
UCGAGAAUCUUCCGCAAUGGGCGAAAGCCUGACGGAGCGACACCGCGUGCAGGAUGAAGGCCUUCGGGUUGUAAACUGCUGUCACGCUUUAGGAAUGGCCUGACGUUAAUAGCGUCAGGAGUGACCAAGGCGAAAGGAAGCACCGGCUAACUCUGUGCCAGCAGCCGCGGUAAGACAGAGGAUGCAAACGUUGUUCGGAAUUACUGGGCAUAAAGCGCACGUAGGUGGUCCAUUAAGUCGAGUGUGAAAUACCCCGGCUCAACCGGGGAAUUGCGCUCGAUACUGGCGGGCUAGAGGUCGAUAGGGGUGAGCGGAACUCCAGGUGGAGCGGUGAAAUGCGUAGAUAUCUGGAGGAACACCGGUGGCGAAAGCGGCUCACUGGAUCGAUUCUGACACUGAGGUGCGAAAGCUAGGGUAGCAAACGGGAUUAGAUACCCCGGUAGUCC